UACAGAGGGUGCAAGCGUUAAUCGGAAUUACUGGGCGUAAAGGGUCUGUAGGCGGAUUAUUAAGUCGGAUGUGAAAUCCCCGGGCUCAACCUGGGAACGGCAUUCGAUACUGGUAGUCUAGAGUGUGCAAGAGGAUGGGGGAAUUCCUGGUGUAGCAGUGAAAUGCGUAGAGAUCAGGAGGAACAUCAAUGGCGAAGGCACCUUUCUGGGGCAACACUGACGCUGAGAGACGAAAGCGUGGGGAGCAAACAGGAUUAGAUACCCCGUGUAGUCC
rnacentral:rRNA from 1 species